rnacentral:rRNA from 1 species
UACCUGGUUGAUGCCUGCCAGUAGUCAUAUGCUUGUCUCAAAGACUAAGCCAUGCAUGUCUAAGUAUAAGUUUUAUACAGCGAAACUGCGAAUGGCUCAUUAAAACAGUUAUAGUUUACUUGAUAAUUACUCUUACAUGGAUAACCGUGGUAAUUCUAGAGCUAAUACAUGCUGAUUUGCCCGACUUUUUGGAAGGGCGGUAUUUAUUAGAUAACAACCAAUAUUCCGAAGGUCUAUCGUGGUGAAUCAUAAUAACUGAUCGAAUCGUAAAGCCUAUGGCGACGAUAAGUCAUUCAAGUUUCUGCCCCAUCAGCUUUAGAUGGUAGUGUAUUGGACUACCAUGGCAUUCACGGGUAACGGAGGAUUAGGGUUCGAUUCCGGAGAGGGAGCCUGAGAAACGGCUACCACAUCUAAGGAAGGCAGCAGGCGCGUAAAUUACCCAAUCCUGACUCAGGGAGGUAGUGACAAGAAAUAGCAAGAAGUACCUUGUGUAUUUCAUUGAAAUGAACCGAAUUUACACCACUUAGUGAGGAUCAAUUGGAGGGCAAGUCUGGUGCCAGCAGCCGCGGUAAUUCCAGCUCCAAUAGC